UACGUAGGGUGCGAGCGUUAAUCGGAAUUACUGGGCGUAAAGCGCGCGUAGGCGGCUUUGCAAGCCGGAUGUGAAAUCCCCGGGCUUAACCUGGGAACUGCAUUCGGGACUGCAUUGCUAGAGUAUGGGAGAGGGAAGUGGAAUUUCAGGUGUAGCGGUGAAAUGCGUAGAUAUCUGAAGGAACAUCAGUGGCGAAAGCGACUUCCUGGACCAAUACUGACGCUCAUGUGCGAAAGCGUGGGGAGCAAACAGG
rnacentral:rRNA from 1 species